rnacentral:tRNA from 1 species
GAGGGUAUAGCUCAGUGGUAGAGCACAUGCUUAGCAUGCACAAGGUUCUGGGUUCAAUCCCCAGUACCUCCA